CUAUGCAUCCCCUAACCACCUUUUGCUAGGGAAAUCACACAUACAUACUCAUAUACUGUACGUAUACACAUUCAGGUACAUAGACUUUCAUAUUCACACAUAUAUACACACAAAGACUCUCACGCAAACACACAGACACAUAUAUACACACUGGCUCAUACACAAACACAAAUCCAUACACGCACACAAACAAACACGUAUUCAUAUACACACACAAACUCACACACAGACUCAUAUAAAUAUGCUAAUAUUCAU